UAUUUUCACAAAUUUCCUCAGAGAGAGCAAAAACCUCCAUGCCAUUCUCGAAGCCGAUUGUUCACAGCUAAAACCGAAUUGCAAGCUCAAGAAAACAGAUUCACCUUCAAAGCUUAUACGACUACAAUUCUGCAAAGAACAACCAUGGAUUUGUUUCGAACGUCAAUUCUGCAAAUUGUGUCGAUUUGGUCGAAUGCGUUCUGGUGAUGCAUAAUGUUGACUCUGGUACGCAAUCGCACCUCCUGGUGCCUAUUCGGCUGUGCAGACCUCUGAGCUGUGUGGCAAUUUCCCAGGAUGGCCGCUUCGUGGCUGCUGGAGAGGUCCUCGAAUAUAUAUUAAGAGAUUUGUCUACGGGAUGAUGGCUUCACCACUAUGCAUAUAAAUUUAUAAAAAUCAUCAAAAGCCUAGAUCAUGGGCUUUCUGAUCUGUAGUUUGCAAUGGUGAAAGGUCAGAUGACUCGAUUACUAUAUUUUCCUCACCCCAUGUUCUAUAUUGCUUUUGCAUUCAGUGCCUCAACCUACAGUAUUUAUGUGGGAUUUAGAUGGCAUAGUCUUUGCAUCAGAACUUGAAGGUCAUCUGUACGGUAUUGCUUGCCUUGCUUUUUCCCCUGAUGCUAGUUUUUUUCUUCUUUGGUUUCGGUUCUGCUGCUACUUGUUCACUUUUCCUUUUUCCAGCUUAAAUAAUUCGCUAUUCUUUAUUUAUACGAGGGGAAUAUAUAUUUGGCGGACUACAGCGUUGCUAGCAAAGCUCAAACCAUGUUCAUCUUAGACGACCAUCUCAUCUGUUUCCUUCUCAUCAGAUUCAAAACCUCUUUGAACUGCUGGGAAGAAGCACAUGAAGUUCUGGACAAUCACAUCUCCUAGGACCCAAUUUAAGUUUGGGACAAGUUCACUGUCUUUGCAUGGAAAACCUGUUAAUCUUGUUGGAUGCAUGUUUGAACUCACAUUUGAAUUACUUCUACGCCUUAGGACAGUAACUAUUAUUCUGGAAUAAAUACGCUCGAAUUCUUCAUGAAAAAAGUUUUAUCUAUGGUCUUUCGGGUUUCCCUCUGCUUUUGUGGAAAUUUUCGAUGACUAUGGUUUAAGCAAAAUCUAGCAAGCACGAACAGAAAUAUUCAACAUGGAUGCGUUGAUAUAUAAUUGUGGACCCCUUGGCUCAUGCAGUAGAUAGUAAGCGUAUAAUACACACACAUACAUUUAGAUAGAGUGGGAGAGAAAUGUAAGUUUGCAUGAUGUUAUAUCUGUUAUUUUUUUAAUAUUUUUUUCCAAAGUUCUACGUGGAGAAUAAGUUGAUAAAUAUGCGUCAUUCUCACGUCUUUAUCUGAUUUCGUGAUCAGAGCAUGUAUGUUGCAUGCAUCCAUACACAUUUUAAUUUUUAUUCAAAAUUCAAUUUAAUGAGAGCUUGAUCUGUUUUUUGUUUUCUUUAUUAAAAUUCAAUUAAAGUGAACCGCCCUAAUUUUAAAGCAGUGACCAAAAAACAAUCCAUUUAGAGUCAAUGUUGGAAGAAGAUAAUUUGCGCAAUUCAUGUUCCUUGUCCGAUGUAGAGGUUGUGCAUGGACCCCACUCUCAUUCUGUAAAGUUUUUCAAGCAGAAAUCAUGAGUGGUGGUUUGUUGUAGUUUAUGGUUUCAUUAAGUUUAGGGAGACAGGGGAAGAGUUAUGGAAGGUGUUGGAUGGUCUAUUCGGUCUUUGUGGGUCUUGUUAGUUCUUUGGGUAUCAACAUUUUCCCGGAUCGCCUAAUUCACAUCAAUACUUCAUGCAUUGAACAUGGACAUUCUAUCCAACAUUUGUGCAUAAUAUACUUGUCCUUGAACAUGGGAUACAGCCUUUCAGAAGUAAUAAUAUCAUAUUACUAGAGUAAUAUUUUCAUAGUUUCUUUUAUUAAGUCAUAUUCAAUUCAUAGGUGUACCAAACAGGAAGUUUCUUUUAAUGAUUCAAGAUGAUCAUCUCACGAUCUAGAACCAAACUUGAUCUCUGUAUGAUUGCAUGUCCAACUUAAUCACUUCGAGUUAGCAAGGUUUUGUGGUUUAUUGGUACCCUGCAUAAGUAUAUAAUCUUAUCUACCUUUUGCUCUGUCCAAUUUUUCUCUUUCUGUGAUAUGAACAGAAAAGUUGCUGUUCUUUGAUUGUUGAUGAUCAAGAAAAUGCACCUCUACCUCCAGAAUUUCAAUUUUUUUCUGACCACGUCCUUGGAUCUGUUAAGUCCUGCACCAGCAGCUUGUCGGGAAACUCUUCUGACAAUAGAAAUACUAAUGGUUCUCAUGUGUCUCAAGAAACUUUUAGGUAAUGUCUUCGAUGAUCUUCGAGCCAUUUUCUCUUUUAAAUGAAUCCUUUCGUUACUUUCCAUGCUUACAGUGCAUGUCUGCCUCCAGUUGCCAUCCUGAAACCGGGUUGCUUUUAUACAUGGGCCUGAGCUUGGUUUAUCUUAGGGUGCAAUAUCGGGGUAAUAGGACUAGUUGCCCACCCUAAACCAAGAUCGAUCCUUUUGACUCAGGAGUUGCAUUCUAGGCAAUAAGUUUCUUCCAUGCCAGAGAUUCCUGGAUGAUGUUAAUAGAACGCAAUUGUGUUUUUCGAAAUAGAAAAAAUACGCUAAUAUUAGCAUGCGGGAUAAUUGAUGUGUUACUUACUCGAUCAACCUUUUCUGGAAACUAAGAUGUUAUUUUUCUUUUAAUGUGGAUGUUUUCUAGAAGGAAAAACUUCCAGUCGAUAGAAAGCAGCCAGAAUGAAAGAUUAUAGAAGGGAGACGUAUGGUGUAUGUCAUUUCUGUUAAAAUGCUUCUGAGCUAUUUGUGAUAAAUAGAAUUGUCCGCAGACACCAUUACGUCUCUAGUUCAACGUUUUGCAUGAUAAGAACCGCUACACACUGUCAAAUUUGAAUGCGUUUUCUCAUAUAUUGAUCUUUUGUUUGGUUUGGAUUGCGAGCUAAGGCUUGUGGUAAAAGCAGACUAAAGGUUCCAAUUUCAAUCAGCCGACAGUAGGACUGCAUACACAUAAUUGCACUUGUAUGCAGUUAACUAUUAUGACGAGUCAUUGCAGUGAAAAUUGUUGAUCUUUUUUCCCGAUGAGGAAUGUGCUUUACAGGACAAGAUGCAGCAAAACUACCAGUUUAAUGGAUGCUCUUCUGGUCAAGCUAGCUAUGAUAUAGAUAUUGGAGGAGAUUUGACUUCCAGUAAGAUUUCCAUUUUUUAUAAUUGUGGACCUAGAGCAAGCAUGAAUUUCACACAAGAAUGAAUGAGGUUCAUUAUGGGAAAACGGAAGAGCUGCUUUUCAGCAAUGUGAAAAGUCAAAAGCAAGCCACUGGAGAUGGUAUCGGUGCCCCAUUAAGUCUGAAAAUGGUGAUCUAUUCAAGCUACAUUCGGGCAGUUUGUCAAU